rnacentral:rRNA from 1 species
GCUUGUCUCAAAGAUUAAGCCAUGCAUGUCUAAGUAUAAAUCUUUUACUUUGAAACUGCGAACGGCUCAUUAUAUCAGUUAUAGUUUAUUUGAUAGUCCCUUACUACUUGGAUAACCGUAGUAAUUCUAGAGCUAAUACAUGCGUCAAUACCCUUCUGGGGUAGUAUUUAUUAGAUUGAAACCAACCGCUUCGGCGUGAUGUGGUGAUUCAUAAUAACCGAACGAAUCGCAUGGCUUUGCUGGCGAUAUAUCUUCUAAGUUUCUGACCUAUCAGCUUUCGACGGUAAGGUAUUGGCUUACCGUGGCAAUGACGGGUAACGGAGAAUUAGGGUUCGAUUCCGGAGAGGGAGCCUGAGAAACGGCUACCACAUCCAAGGAAGGCAGCAGG